ACACUUUCCAGUACAUCUACUAUGUUACGACUUAUCUUACCUUAAUAAUAAGAGCGACGGGCGAUGUGUACAUAUUUUAGAGCUAAAAUCAAAUUAUUAAUCUUUACAAUUUUACUACCAAAUCCACCUUCAAAAAUUUUUUCAUAAUUUUAUCCGUUUAAAUAAAUUUAUUGUAACCCAUUAUUACUAAAUUAUAAGCUACACCUUGAUCUGAUAUAAAUUUUUAUUGAAAUUAUUGAAUAUUUUUAUUCUUAUAAAAUAUUCUGAUAACGACGGUAUAUAAACUGAUUACAAAAUUAAGUAAGGUCCAUCGUGGAUUAUCGAUUACAAAACAGGUUCCUCUGGAUAGACUAAAAUACCGCCAAAUUUUUUAAGUUUCAAGAACAUAACUACUACUACUUAAGUACUUAUAAUUACAUUUUAAAUAAUAGGGUAUCUAAUCCUAGUUUUUAAUUAAAAUUUUUAAGUUUCAAUUAUUAAUUCGAUAAAAAAUUUAAAUUUAAAAUUUCACUUAAUAAAUUUAAUUUUAUAUACAUUAAAAUCAAUUUAACUUUUACUAAAAAAAUUUAUUUGUAUAAUUGGUAUAACCGCGAUUGCUGGCACCAAUUUUAUCUAUACUCUUUAAUAUUGCUAUUUCUAAAUUUCUUUAAUUAAUAAAAUUAAUUACUGCGGCUAUAAUAUUUAAUAACAAUUUUUUAAAUUAUUAUAAAUUCACACAAAAAUUUACAUAUAAAUCAAACUAAUAACAAAUUAUUAAGCCAAAAUAAAACUUUAUAAAUUWAUYWW
rnacentral:rRNA from 1 species